CCUACGGGUGGCAGCAGUAGGGAAUCUUCCACAAUGGACGAAAGUCUGAUGGAGCAACGCCGCGUGAGUGAAGAAGGGUUUCGGCUCGUAAAGCUCUGUUGGUAGUGAAGAAAAAUGUAGGUAGUCACUGGCCUUUAUUUGACGGUAAUUACUUAGAAAGUCACGGCUAACUACGUGCCAGCAGCCGCGGUGAUACGUAGGUGGCAAGCGUUGUCCGGAUUUAUUGGGUGUAAAGCGAGUGCAGGCGGUUCAAUAAGUCUGAUGUGAAAGCCUUCGGCUAAACCGGAGGAUUACAUAAGAAACUGGUGGACUUGAGUGCAGAAGGGGAGAGUGGAACUCCAUGUGGAGCGGUGGAAUGCGUAGAUAUAUUGAAGAACACCAGUGGCGAAGGCGGCUCUCUGGUCUGCAACUGACGCUGAGGCUCGAAAGCAUGGGGAGCGAACAGGAUUAGAUACCCCUGUAGUC
rnacentral:rRNA from 1 species